GAUGAACGCUAGCGAUAGGCCUAACACAUGCAAGUCGAGGGGCAUCACAUGAAGUAGCAAUACGGAUGGUGGCGACCGGCGCACGGGUGAGUAACACGUAUGCAACCUGCCUUCAACAAGGGGAUAACCCGUUGAAAGACGGACUAAUACCCUAUAACACAGGGGUCCCGCAUGGGAAUAUUUGUUAAAGGACAACCGGUUGAAGAUGGGCAUGCGUUCCAUUAGCUAGUUGGCGGGGUAACGGCCCACCAAGGCAACGAUGGAUAGGGGAACUGAGAGGUUUAUCCCCCACACUGGUACUGAGACACGGACCAGACUCCUACGGGAGGCAGCAGUGAGGAAUAUUGGUCAAUGGACGCAAGUCUGAACCAGCCACGUCGCGUGAAGGAAGACGGCCCUACGGGUUGUAAACUUCUUUUAUACGGGAAUAAAGUGCCCCACGCGUGGGGUUUUGCAUGUACCGUAUGAA
rnacentral:rRNA from 1 species